rnacentral:misc_RNA from 1 species
GACGGGAGGUGCAAGCGUUACUCGGAAUUACUGGGCGUAAAGCGUCUGCAGGCGUCCUAUACAGGUCUGUUGUGAAAUCGUACAGCUCAACUGUGCGUCUGUAACAGAAACCAAUAGGAUUGAGUCAUCCAGAGGCACCUGGAAUGCCAUGUGUAGGGGUUAAAUCCGUUGAUACAUGGUGGAACGCCAAAAGCGAAGGCAGGGUGCUGGGGAUGUACUGACGCUCAGAGACGAAAGCGUGGGGAGCAAAGGGG